rnacentral:rRNA from 1 species
UACGGAGGAUCCAAGCGUUAUCCGGAAUCAUUGGGUUUAAAGGGUCCGUAGGCGGGUUUAUAAGUCAGUGGUGAAAGCCCAUCGCUCAACGAUGGAACGGCCAUUGAUACUGUAGAUCUUGAAUUAUUAGGAAGUAACUAGAAUAUGUAGUGUAGCGGUGAAAUGCUUAGAGAUUACAUGGAAUACCAAUUGCGAAGGCAGGUUACUACUAAUGGAUUGACGCUGAUGGACGAAAGCGUGGGUAGCGAACAGGAUUAGAUACCCUGGUAGUCCACGCCGUAAACGAUGGAUACUAGCUGUUCGGAGCAAUCUGAGUGGCUAAGCGAAAGUGAUAAGUAUCCCACCUGGGGAGUACGUUCGCAAGAAUG